UGGGGAAUUUUGGACAAUGGGCGCAAGCCUGAUCCAGCCAUGCCGCGUGCGGGAAGAAGGCCUUCGGGUUGUAAACCGCUUUUGUCAGGGAAGAAACGCUCUGGGCUAAUACCCUGGGGUAAUGACGGUACCUGAAGAAUAAGCACCGGCUAACUACGUGCCAGCAGCCGCGGUAAUACGUAGGGUGCAAGCGUUAAUCGGAAUUACUGGGCGUAAAGGGCGCGUAGGCGGCAAUUCAAGUCAUCUGUGAAAUCUCCGGGCUUAACUCGGAACGGUCAGAUGAUACUGCUUUGCUAGAGUGCAGAAGGGGCAAUCGGAAUUCUUGGUGUAGCGGUGAAAUGCGUAGAUAUCAAGAGGAACACCUGAGGUGAAGACGGGUUGCUGGGGCUGACACUGACGCUGAGGCGCGAAAGCCAGGGGAGCAAACGGGAUUAGAUACCCCUGUAGUCCCUGAGCGGGCUGGCAAGGCGCAU
rnacentral:rRNA from 1 species